GAUGAACGCUGGCGGCGUGCCUAAUACAUGCAAGUCGAGCGAACGGACGAGAAGCUUGCUUCUCUGAUGUUAGCGGCGGACGGGUGAGUAACACGUGGAUAACCUACCUAUAAGACUGGGAUAACUUCGGGAAACCGGAGCUAAUACCGGAUGAUAUUUUGAACCGCAUGGUUCAAAAGUGAAAGACGGUCUUGCUGUCACUUAUAGAUGGAUCCGCGCUGCAUUAGCUAGUUGGUAAGGUAACGGCUUACCAAGGCAACGAUGCAUAGCCGACCUGAGAGGGUGAUCGGCCACACUGGAGCUGAGACACGGUCCAGACUCCUACGGGAGGCAGCAGUAGGGAAUCUUGCGCAAUGGGCGAAAGCCUGACGGAGCAACGCCGCGUGAGUGAUGAAGGUCUUCGGAUCGUAAAACUCUGUUAUUAUGGAAGAACAUAUGUGUAAGUAACUGUGCACAUCUUGACGGUACCUAAUCAGAAAGCCACGGCUAACUACGUG
rnacentral:rRNA from 1 species